rnacentral:rRNA from 1 species
CCAGCUCCAAUAGCGUAUAUUAAAGUUGUUGCAGUUAAAAAGCUCGUAGUUGAACCUUGGGUCUGGCUGGCCGGUCCGCCUCACCGCGAGUACUGGUCCGGCUGGACCUUUCCUUCUGGGGAAUCCCAUGGCCUUCACUGGCUGUGGGGGGAACCAGGACUUUUACUGUGAAAAAAUUAGAGUGUUCAAAGCAGGCCUUUGCUCGAAUACAUUAGCAUGGAAUAAUAGAAUAGGACGUGCGGUUCUAUUUUGUUGGUUUCUAGGACCGCCGUAAUGAUUAAUAGGGAUAGUCGGGGGCGUCAGUAUUCAGCUGUCAGAGGUGAAAUUCUUGGAUUUGCUGAAGACUAACUACUGCGAAAGCAUUCGCCAAGGAUGUUUUCAUUAAUCAGGGAACGAAAGUUAGGGGAUCGAAGACGAUCAGAUACCGUCGUAGUCUUAACCAUAAACUAUGCCGACUAGGGAUCGGGCGGUGUUUCUAUGAUGACCCGCUCGGCACCUUACGAGAAAUCAAAGUUUUUGGGUUCUGGGGGGAGUAUGGUCGCAAGGCUGAAACUUAAAGAAAUUGACGGAAGGGCACCACAAGGCGUGGAGCCUGCGGCUUAAUUUGACUCAACACGGGGAAACUCACCAGGUCCAGACAAAAUAAGGAUUGACAGAUUGAGAGCUCUUUCUUGAUCUUUUGGAUGGUGGUGCAUGGCCGUUCUUAGUUGGUGGAGUGAUUUGUCUGCUUAAUUGCGAUAACGAACGAGACCUCGGCCCUUAAAUAGCCCGGUCCGCAUUUGCGGGCCGCUGGCUUCUUAGGGGGACUAUCGGCUCAAGCCGAUGGAAGUGCGCG